AAAUCGCGGUCACUGCUCCGAAGUCCGAACCUUCAUACACAUCGUCUCGUUUCCGAUUUCCCCAAAUUCAGGCCACAGGCGCUACAGGACCCAGGCACCACUCGGUCGGCGGCCACCGCGUCGCCCCGCCUGCUCGAUUGGGGUCGCGUGUGCGAUAGGAAGUUCGUCAUACGCCUCGCGGUUUUUCUAGUUUCCGUUUUGAUUUCUAUGCGCCCAAUGUUUUGUCCGAUUGAUUGAUCUGCUUAGGUACGUGAGACUGUCUCUAUUGUUCGUGAGUGCGUAGAUGGUGGGUGAGUCUGGUUGUUUAGAUUUGUGACUGGUUGCUCGACUUGAUUGUGCUGACUGAUUGUUUCAUCUAUCGUGUAAGCUGUAUUAAUGUCUAAUCCCUUAAUUGCUUUGAAACCACUGCAUGUGCUUGAUUAGUUUGGUUUGUACCGACAGCUUUUGGUGCCUAUUUGUGAUGAGAUUGAACAUCCUGCUGCUUGUGUUUAAUCUUCUAGGUUCGUGUUCUUGCUGUAUGCGUGGUUAAUGGUUGACUAGUACUUCUCUGAUGCUGAGGAUGAUUGCUAUUGAUUGACUAGAAUUUAACAUUUCCCUGUGGGGAAGUAAUCUCCUAUGUUCUGUCGAAAGCAGCACACUCUGGCAACUGUAUUGCUGCAUAUAUUUUCCGUCAAAAAAAUAUUUGCUAAACAUGAAAACCACACUUAUUUUGCCUUUUCAUCUCUCCUUGUGGCACAAUACUAUGGCCCAGUUUUGAACCUAUGGCCCAACACUCUUAGCUAAUAACUCAACUAAUUGUUAACUAACUCGCAGCUAACAAUUAGUUCAUUAGCUGCCUCAAUCCAGCUAACAAUUUGUUAGCUGGCUAACUAUUAGAUUUAGGGGUUCCAAACAUGACUGUAUCAAUUGACUUCCUCUGUUGGCCGACCUUUGCAUAUAUCAUCAAUG
rnacentral:lncRNA from 7 species